rnacentral:lncRNA from 1 species
GAGAACGAGUCUGCUACUAUUCCAAUUUUUCUUUUUUUUAUUUAUUUCAUUUUAAAUAGGAUAGGUUUUUGAAAAUAUUAAGGAUUUUGUUUAAAAUUCCUAAGAUAUCAGUUAAUAAUUGUUUUAUGUUUUCAACUUAUCCCUCAUUGAAAAACCCAACAGCCAAGCGGUUGGGUUUAACUACUGGUAGUCCAACAGACUUUUUUUUAUUUUAGUUUUUAUUCUAAUGUUUAAUCUAUUUUGGUUUAUAUAUUUAAAGUAGCAUCAAAAUAAUAAAUAACCAUGAGUGGUCUGGUGGAAAAGGGUAGUAUCAUAGUCUUGAGUGGGGUGGGUUUAAUGCUCAUGUGUAGCAUUUUUUUAGUAUUUUAUUUUUCUUUUAGCAUUUUAUUUUCUUUUAGCAUUUUAUUUUCUUUUAGUAUUUUAUUUCUUUUAACAUUUUUUUGUUAUGUUUAUGCUUUAUUAUUUUCAUAGUUUCAUUAUCAUAACAUAGAUUUGUU